GUGAGGAAUAUUGCGCAAUGGAGGCAACUCUGACGCAGCCAUGCCGCGUGCAGGAAGAAGGCGCUACGCGUUGUAAACUGCUUUUAACCGGGAAGAAACCCCAGGACGUGUCCUGGGUUGACGGUACCGGAGGAAUAAGCACCGGCUAACUUCGUGCCAGCAGCCGCGGUAAUACGAAGGGUGCAAGCGUUAUCCGGAUUCAUUGGGUUUAAAGGGUGCGUAGGCGGAGCGUUAAGUCAGUGGUGAAAUCCUGCAGCUUAACUGUAGACUUGCCAUUGAUACUGGCGCUCUUGAGUGCGCUUGAAGUGGGCGGAAUGUGCCGUGUAGCGGUGAAAUGCUUAGAUAUGGCACAGAACACCAAUUGCGGAGGCAGCUCACUAAGGCGAUACUGACGCUGAGGCACGAAAGCGUGGGGAUCGAACAGGAUUAGAAACCCUUGUAGUCC
rnacentral:rRNA from 1 species